UACGAAGGGGGCUAGCGUUGCUCGGAAUCACUGGGCGUAAAGCGCACGUAAGCGGCUUUUUAAGUCAGGGGUGAAAUCCUGGAGCUCAACUCCAGAACUGCCUUUGAUACUGAGAAGCUUGAGUCCGGGAGAGGUGAGUGGAACUGCGAGUGUAGAGGUGAAAUUCGUAGAUAUUCGCAAGAACACCAGUGGCGAAGGCGGCUCACUGGCCCGGUACUGACGCUGAGGUGCGAAAGCGUGGGGAGCAAACAGG
rnacentral:rRNA from 1 species